GGUUGUACCGCCAGGUGCACCGCCGGGUAUCUAAGUCUGGAUUGGAUAAGUGCUGAAAGCAUCUAAGUACGAAGCCAGCCUCAAGAUAAGAUCUCCCUGAGGGUCGUUGUAGACUACGACGUUGAUAGGCUACAGGUGUAAGGGCAGUAAUGUCGAAGCCGAGUAGUACUAAUAGCCCGAGACUUUCUAUUUC
rfam:Parabacteroides goldsteinii dnLKV18 genomic scaffold acPFM-supercont1.1, whole genome shotgun sequence.